GACGGGGGAUGCAAGCGCUAUCCGGGCUCACUGGGCGUAAAGCGUCUGUAGGUGGUGAUGCAAGUCACUGGUGCAAAACUCUGGCUCAACCGGAGGAAAGCCAGUGAAACUGCAUGACUAGAGUGUGGGAGAGGUAGAAGGAAUUCCCUGAGUAGCGGUGAAAUGCGUAGAUACAGGGAAGAACACCGGAGGCGAAAGCGCUCUACUGGAACACAACUGACACUGAGAGACGAAAGCUAGGGGAGCGAAUGGG
rnacentral:rRNA from 1 species